rnacentral:misc_RNA from 1 species
AACAUCGCGCACCUGCGGGAACCUGCGGAGGGAUCAUUAAAAAGAGUGUGUACCCCCCUGUAAAAUGGGUGGGUUACCUCCCGUCCUUUGUUGACCUCUUAGGAGGUUAUUUUGAACUUUUCUGCUUCGGUGGGGUUAAACCUACCGGAACACCCUCAAAUUCUGAUCAUAUAAAAAUUGUUCAGUCCGAGGAUUUUGUUAAUAAAAACAAAAAACUUUUAGCAAUGGAUCUCAGAUCGG